GGGGAUGUAGCUCAGUGGUAGAGCGCUCGCUUCGCAUGCGAGAGGCCCCGGGUUCGAUCCCCGGCAUCUCCA
rfam:Hymenolepis microstoma genomic scaffold, pathogens_HYM_scaffold_0003